CGCUGACGAGCGGCGGACGGGUGAGUAAUGUCUGGGGAUCUGCCUGAUGGAGGGGGAUAACUACUGGAAACGGUAGCUAAUACCGCAUAACGUCGCAAGACCAAAGUGGGGGACCUUCGGGCCUCAUGCUAUCAGAUGAACCCAGAUGGGAUUAGCUAGUAGGUGUGGUAAUGGCUCACCUAGGCGACGAUCCCUAGCUGGUCUGAGAGGAUGACCAGCCACACUGGAACUGAGACACGGUCCAGACUCCUACGGGAGGCAGCAGUGGGGAAUAUUGCACAAUGGGCGCAAGCCUGAUGCAGCCAUGCCGCGUGUAUGAAGAAGGCCUUCGGGUUGUAAAGUACUUUCAGUAGGGAGGAAGGUGUGAACGUUAAUAGCGCUCACAAUUGACGUUACCUACAGAAGAAGCACCGGCUAACUCCGUGCCAGCAGCCGCGGUAAUACGGAGGGUGCAAGCGUUAAUCGGAAUUACUGGGCGUAAAGCGCACGCAGGCGGUUUGUUAAGUUGGAUGUGAAAUCCCCGGGCUUAACCUGGGAACUGCAUCCAAGACUGGCAAGCUAGAGUCUCGUAGAGGGAGGUAGAAUUCCAGGUGUAGCGGUGAAAUGCGUAGAGAUCUGGAGGAAUACCGGUGGCGAAGCGGCCUCCUGGACGAGACUGACGCUCAGUGCGAAAGCGUGGGGAGCAAACAGGAUUAGAUACCCUGUAGUCCACGCUGUAACGAUGUCGAUUUGGAGUUGUGCCCUUGAGGCGUGGCUUCCGAAGCUAACGCGUUAAAUCGACCGCCUGGGGAGUACGGCCGCAAGGUUAAAACUCAAAUGAAUUGACGGGGGCCCGCACAAGCGGUGGAGCAUGUGGUUUAAUUCGAUGCAACGCGAAGAACCUUACCUACUCUUGACAUCCAGCGAAUCCUGUAGAGAUACGGGAGUGCCUUCGGGAACGCUGAGACAGGUGCUGCAUGGCUGUCGUCAGCUCGUGUUGUGAAAUGUUGGGUUAAGUCCCGCAACGAGCGCAACCCUUAUCCUUUGUUGCCAGCGGUUCGGCCGGGAACUCAAAGGAGACUGCCAGUGAUAAACUGGAGGAAGGUGGGGAUGACGUCAAGUCAUCAUGGCCCUUACGAGUAGGGCUACACACGUGCUACAAUGGCGUAUACAAAGAGAAGCGAACUCGCGAGAGCAAGCGGACCUCAUAAAGUACGUCGUAGUCCGGAUUGGAGUCUGCAACUCGACUCCAUGAAGUCGGAAUCGCUAGUAAUCGUGGAUCAGAAUGCCACGGUGAAUACGUUCCCGGGCCUUGUACACACCGCCCGUCACACCAUGGGAGUGGGUUGCAAAAGAAGUAGGUAGCUUAACCUUCGGGAGGGCGCUUACCACUUUGUGAUUCAUGACUGGGGUG
rnacentral:rRNA from 1 species